AGAAACCUGAGCUUGACGUGGGCGAGACCAGCCUGGAGACGGGAACUUGCCGUUCCUCUCAGCUGCGCCAACGGCACACCACCUCCCAGAAGCGGCUUCCUGUACUUGCCUUUUUGUCUGACAGCUCAGAAAGAAACACAACUUGUUUGGGAAGAGUGAAAGAAGGCUGUUUUCUUGACUGUCUUUUACUCCCUGACAUUCUCUGCCCUUGAAAAAGCUGUCACAACAAAGUGGUGUUGGAUUGAAGCUCCCGAUUUUUGGAAUGUUUUCCGGGGAUCCUCGCCCCUGGCACCGUCUACUGAAGCCCUCGUCAUCCUAUUGUAAGAAUCUCAAUUUGAAAACAGACUGAAUGUAAUUUCUAACUCUGGCUCUGCCACUAACUGGCUGGGGGAACCCCAGCAAGGUACUUGACCUCUUUGACCCUAAGUUUCCCAUCUGGUGGGGUCCACCAGACCAUGGCUUCCCGAAGGUCCCUGCGCUGCGUAUACACAGUAAAUGCUCAGAGGUGGGUGUAAUCCAUUAGUCAUGCAGUAUCAUCUCAACUUGGGACUUCCCUGGCAGUCCAGUGGUCAAGACUGCGUGCAUCCUCUGCAGAGGGCAUGGGUUCAAUCCCUGGUCAGGGAACUAUGAUCCCACAUGCUGCAUGCUGAGGCCAGAAAAUAAAACAAACUUGAAGAAGUUAGACUAGACCUCGAGGAAAUCAACUUGUAAUGAUGGGCAUGGAAGGCAGGUAAGGUAAAAGUGUGAAAGUGUUUGUCGCUCA
ensembl:lncRNA